GCCUGCACUUCACCAAAUCGAUUCCUCUUCCAAAGUAACAGGGAUUUCGGUGGCGAGCCGGAGAAAAUACUCCUCUCCUCACUUAUCUGCUGCACACUGGCCACGCAUCGCACCCCCAGACAAGCUGGAAACAUUGAUACGGUUGGAGCGGGAUGGUGAGGAAGCCCAUGCAUUGCAAGU
rnacentral:lncRNA from 1 species